GGGAAGUUGGCUCAGUGGUAGAGUGCUUGCCUUGCAUGCAUGAGGCCCUGGGUUUGAUUCCUCAGUACCA
rfam:Dipodomys ordii contig_52362, whole genome shotgun sequence.